UUAAGUAGUAUCGAGAAAAAUCAUAACACAAAAGCAUCUCCUCCAUAUAUAUUUUAGACUGUGUGUGCGUGCGGGUGUGUCUCAAAACAACUUUGAUAUCGAUAGAACUUUGUAACGCUGUGUAUAAGUAGAGGACAUCUUAUAAACUAUCAAGACAUGAUAUGGUUUCAACGGCACAUUUGAAGUUGUUGAAUUGUGGCGUGUGUCUUUUGUAUUAUAGCAACAGUUAAAUGUGUAAUGAACCUUAUAAAUAACUUAGAGUCCAGUGGUGAAUGAGGCAAACCACUGUGUUCAUGUGUACAUAGGUGCUUUAUAUUUGGAUAUAGAGAUAGGGGAAAAGUACAGAUGUACUUUUAUACUGUUAUACCGAACGUGCUUUGUGCAAUAACAGAAAUAGUUCAUACUUUUGAGGUUGUACUGUAUGUGAUUGUGCAUUUCACCAAAUUAAAACAUUCAUACAUAGAAACUUGUACGUUAUUACACUAGCCAUUGCUACUAUUUUAAAAAGUCAUCAAUAUUAAAGGAAAAGAGAAAAGAGAACAUCCAACUAGUAUACUGUACAGUGUGAGUGAGAUUUUAAAUGGUUUCUUUUACAACAAAUUAACAAACUAAAUCAGUGGCUUUUAACUUGUGUUGGUCAUGACAGUGUGGCAAUACCUGUGUGGACAGACAAUGUAGAUUAAGUGUCUUGUCCAAAGAUACAGACAAAUAGCAUGAGCGAGAUUUGAAACCAGGUCUACAUAUUGGCAGCCCAGCUCCUUAUCCACUUAUCCACCUGCUCCACUGAUCUCCAGAGGUUGAUACAUAAAUGAACUUUUGGCUCCUGGUCACACCUGCACCAUCACUGCCAUGAUCUGUUCAAAUGGCCACAGAGCUGAAGAACCCAAAGGGCAAAUUCCAUGUG